rnacentral:misc_RNA from 1 species
UCUCCGUAGGUGAACCUGCGGAGGGAUCAUUACUGAGUGAGGGUUUAACCGCCCGACCUCCAACCCUUUGUGAACUUACCUUUGUUGCCUCGGCGGGGCCUACCCGGUACCGACCCCUUUUGGGCGAAGUUACCCUGUAGCCCGCCGGUGGAUUUUCAAACUCUUGUUAUUUUAAUGUUAUCUGAGCGUCUUAUUUUAAUAAGUCAAAACUUUCAACAACGGAUCUCUUGGUUCUGGCAUCGAUGAAGAACGCAGC